rnacentral:lncRNA from 1 species
CGGACCCGGCCCCCAGUGACAGCGGUUCCAAACUCCAGGACCGCCCCUGCCACCCGGACAGGGCGCGGCCCAGCUGAGGAGGCCAUCCCGCGGCCCACGGCGCCCCGAGAACGCCGGGGAAGGGGUGUCGGGGACCGUGUCCCUCCACGUGGCGGGGCGUGGGGAGGCGCACGUGGGGUCCCUCGGUGUUGGGAGCCCCAGGCCAGCCUCGGGGCUUUGUGUGCCAUUCCGGCGCUGUCCCCCACCUCGAGAGGGAAACGGAGCGGGCGCCCGGAGCCGCGGCGGCUGCGUCCCUUGCCCCGGGCCCGGCUACCGCCAGCUCACCUGGGCUCCACGCCGCCGCCGCCUCCCGCGCUCUGCGCCCCCAGCUCGGCUCGGCUCAGCUCAGCUUGCUCUGCACGGCCGCGCGCUCCUCUCCUCUGCCCGGGCGGCGGGCGCGCGGGGGGCGGAGGCGGGAGGAGCCGCCCCGCUCGGCCUGGGCGCGACACCGCCCCGGGCAGCGCGGGGAUUGGCCACGGCCGCGGGAAACCCGAACGCGGAACCGCCCGCGCCCGCCGCGCACCGCCCCCUGCGCGCCCCCGCCGGCUCGGCCCCGCGCCGGGGAGGGGUGGGGAGGCGGGAGCCUGCAAAGACGAAAGUAGCGGCGAGGCGGAGGGCAAGGAGAAGAAAGGGAGGAGGCGAAGAGCCGGGGAAGAGAGGCCCGGCCGGGAGAAUCGGAGGCGGCGGGGAGGAGAGCCUGGCGGGGCGCGGGGCGCGGAGCUCGGAGCGCGGGAGGGGGCGCCGCAACUUUGUCCCCGCUCGCCCGCGGCGCGCACCUGCCCAGGUUCUUCCCGCGCGCCCUCGGGCGGCGCAGCGCCGACGGCGCUUGCUUUGUUUAGCCAAAUGCCGAGGUUGCAGGAAGCCUCCGGACUGACCCUGGGAAAGUUCCCCAAGCCGGCGAGAACACCUGGGGCCUCUCCUAGCGACCCGGCUGCUGCCCCUGCGCUAGGCGCCGGGCGGUGGAUGCGGCCUGGAUUUCGGGCCACCACCGACUCGGGGGAGCCCCCUUCCGCAGCCGCCUGCCGACUGACCACUUGCUCAGGGCAGGCCCUAAAGGCUGGCGAAAGGCGUUCCUCUCCCAUCCCCAGCCCACCUGGAUGCACCAUUGAAGUUCAUUCUGGCUUUUCCAGAUUGCUACUUAGAUGCUUUUUGUGA